UACGGGGGGAGCAAGCGUUGUUCGGAAUCACUGGGCGUAAAGGGCGUGUAGGCGGUUCGGUAAGUGGGAUGUGAAAUGCCCGGGCUCACCCCGGGACCUGCAUCCCAAACUGCUGAGCUUGAGUACAGGAGAGGGUGGGGGAAUUCCAGGUGUAGCGGUGAAAUGCGUAGAUAUCUGGAGGAACACCGGUGGCGAAGGCGCCCACCUGGCCUGCUACUGACGCUGAGGCGCGAAAGCUAGGGGAGCAAAC
rnacentral:rRNA from 1 species